GGGUCAGCGACAGGGGGGAAGUCGUAACAAGGUAGCCGUAGGGGAACCUGUGGCUGGAUCACCU
rnacentral:rRNA from 1 species